UUUUUCCCGGCACCCGCGCGUAGGUUGUCUUGUGUGUCUUGGGUUCUCUGUCUGCAGUGGUCCACGCCCAUCCUCCGCCAUUCCCGGUCUUAUCCUGGUUGCCACGGGCGCCGCACCUGCCAGGGCUGCCUCUAGAGGCGGCGGGAUGUUGAGCGCGGCACGGAGGAUCCAGGCCUACUGGCCUAGUCGGACCGAGAUCCGGAAGGCCACGUGGUUCUCAGGCGCAGUGGAAGAAGCCGGACGCUGUGUGGGCCACGCCCUGCUCCCGCCGCGGCCCUCGCGGCCCUGUGCUCCGGUGUGACGGUUUCCAAAAUGUCCCAGCAGAUGAGUCCUGACAUCUCACAGGAUUUAGUUGUGCCAGAAGAUUCCAGGAUGACUGGAGUUGACCUUUCUGGUGAGUGAAGAGGACAUGACAGUGAUGGACACAAGCCUCAGGGCCUGGUUGCCCUGUUGUUUAACUGGCAGCGCCUGAUACUGAAGUAACUGCAAACACCAGCUUGUCGCUGGAGCCAUGCUUUCAGAAUAAGACCUGUUGCCAGUAAAGCUGCCUUCAUCUGUGUGGAUCUACAGAGUUGGGUGAGUUGAAGGUCUAGCUGAAGCUUUAUCACAACUUCCAUUUGUACUUAGCUUGUUAAGACUCAGUAGUGUAGCCAAUAGAUAAAGAUACCCAGUGUGUAAAAGUCCUGUAUUUACAGUGUAUCACUUACAUCUGGCUUUCCUUGGAAGCUGCAUUUAUUGGCUGUUCAUAACCAGAUGACAAAAACACGUUUACUUUGUGACGUGGUCUGCUAGGUUUUGCCUGCACUGAGGCCAAGAGCACACGCAGAGAGUGGAAUGUAGCAGCUGUUCCGUCUUCACCUUGAGGACUGAGGGCCGACUGCUGCUCGCGCUCAGUGGCUUUGGGUAGCCAUGGAGCCGCCCACCCCUCCUUUGAGAGUGGGAGACGACUGGGUAGAAACAGGUAGUUCUGUCUAGCUUGGUAUUUUUCACGCUGUGACUGGUCUAGGAUGAAACCUAAUCUGAGUGGACAUCUGUGGAUGAUAAAUGCGGAUAUGGGACUGAGACCAGCUCUUGGGAAAACCUGGAGGGGCACGGAUAAAUUGGGGCGUUACUGACACACUGGCUUCUACUUCCUUUUCAGGAGAGAAACAAAAAGGCAAAUGAAGAGACGGGGCGCUUUCAGGUGGAAACAGCUGUUUUGGUUUUGGUGAUGUUGCUACCCGGCAUAUAAAUGACCAAUAAAAGGUUGUAUGUUUGUCA